rnacentral:rRNA from 1 species
UGCCAGCAGCCGCGGUAAGACGGAGGGUGCUAGCGUUGUUCGGAAUGACUGGGCGUAAAGGGCGCGUAGGCGGUUUUGUUAGUCAGGCGUGAAAGCCCCGGGCUCAACCCGGGAACUGCGUUUGAUACUGCAAGACUUGAGGACGGAAGAGGAAAGUGGAAUUCCUAGUGUAGAGGUGAAAUUCGUAGAUAUUAGGAGGAAUGCCGAUGGGGAAGCCAGCCCACUGGACAGAUACUGACGCUAAAGCGCGAAAGCGUGGGUAGCAAACAGGAUUAGAUA